UACGGAGGGAGCUAGCGUUGUUCGGAAUUACUGGGCGUAAAGCGCACGUAGGCGGCGAUUCAAGUCAGAGGUGAAAGCCCGGGGCUCAACUCCGGAACUGCCUUUGAAACUAGAUUGCUAGAAUCUUGGAGAGGCGAGUGGAAUUCCGAGUGUAGAGGUGAAAUUCGUAGAUAUUCGGAAGAACACCAGUGGCGAAGGCGGCUUACUGGUCCGGUUCUGGACGCUGAGGCGGCGAAAAGCGUUGGGGAGCAAACAGG
rnacentral:rRNA from 1 species